AUGGCAGUCGCGGGGCUGCCGGCGGUCGACGGGAGGCGGCGGAGCCACGUGGUGGUUUCCGUUCUGCCAUAGAGGAAAAGAGGAGAGGGGAUUUCAGAUUUUAAUUUAAAAAAAAAGGGAAAAAGAAAAGGAGAAGGGAAUUAGGGCUUACCCUUGAAUUCGACGGACGACGGAGGCGGCGGCUCCUGGCCGUCUGUCCACCGGCGAGAAGAGGACGACGCGGUGGCGCGGCUUACGCCGUGUCUGCGUGCGUGUGUGUGUGUGUGAGUCAGUGCGAAAUUGAGAGAAGGUGAGAACGAGCGAAGGGAGGAAAGGUGGUGGCCGUGGUCUUGACGCGGCAGCGGAUCUGCCGCGAAGACGACGGAGGCAGCGGCGGCGCACCGCUUUGACGGCGGCGUGCGUCCUGUUU
rnacentral:lncRNA from 1 species